rnacentral:tRNA from 1 species
GGGCUCUUAGCACAGUUGGUAGCGCGCACGCUUUGCAUCUUUGGAGAUUGCGUGAGGUCGUGGGUUCAAAUCCCACAGUGUCCA